rnacentral:rRNA from 1 species
GACGAACGCUGGCGGCGUGCCUAAUACAUGCAAGUAGAACGCUGAAGGAGGAGCUUGCUCUUCUGGAUGAGUUGCGAACGGGUGAGUAACGCGUAGGUAACCUGCCUGGUAGCGGGGGAUAACUAUUGGAAACGAUAGCUAAUACCGCAUAACAGUAGAUGUUGCAUGACAUUUGCUUAAAAGGUGCAAUUGCACCACUACCAGAUGGCCCUGCGUUGUAUUAGCUAGUUGGUGGGGUAACGGCUCACCAAGGCGACGAUACAUAGCCGACCUGAGAGGGUGAUCGGCCACACUGGGACUGAGACACGGCCCAGACUCCUACGGGAGGCAGCAGUAGGGAAUCUUCGGCAAUGGACGGAAGGCUGACCGAGCAACGCCGCGUGAGUGAAGAAGGUUGUCGGAUCGUAAAGCUCUGUUGUAAGAGAAGAACGAGUGUGAGAGUGGAAAGUUCACACUGUGACGGUAUCUUAACAGAAAGGGACGGCUAACUACGUG